GACGUAGGGUCCAAGCGUUGUCCGGAUUUACUGGGCGUAAAGAGCGCGUAGGCGGUCUAUUAAGUGUGAAGUGAAAUCUCCAGGGCUCAACCCGGAAACUGCUUCGCAUACUGAUAGACUUGAGGAAUGCAGAGGUUUGUGGAAUUCCUGGUGUAGCGGUGAAAUGCGUUGAUAUCAGGAGGAACACCAAUAGCGAAGGCAGCUCGCUGGGACGGUACUGACGCUAAGGCGCGAAAGCGUGGGGAGCGAACAGG
rnacentral:rRNA from 1 species